UCUGGUCUGUGCGCUUGAAGCGACUUUUAAAGCUUAAAAUUCGAACUUUAUAAUCGUGCUGCGUUAGUACCUACCUCUCUCUGUCAAACUCAACGCCGACUGACGAGAAACCGGAAAUGACGCGAUACAUCCGCUGCCAACCAGAAAAGAGCGCUAUAACACGAAUAAAGUACUCCCAGGAACAGCAAACUAUUAAAUAACUGCGAAGGAUUUUGGCGAAAUUAAUAGAUUUUACGGCGCAACACAUGCCAUGGAAAAAAAACCCACAAAUAAAAAAUAAUACAUUUUAUUUCCCAUAUCUGUUACACUUAUACAGGCGUCAUCUGGACUCCGCGCCCACCGGAAACGGAAUUUAGCAGCUCGACAAGGCGGGCAGGGUUUAAUGACGCUAUUUUCGUUGAACGUACAGACCUGCAAAUAUCCCAGGGAGCAUUGGGCACAAGGCAGGGAACACCCUAGUUGGUUGUUGGUGUUGUCAGUGGUGUUGUGACUCCUGCCAGAGGGAACGCCACCACAUUGUCCUGCAGAAACAUUUCUGCUGGUGAUAUUUACACGUACCCAGUGCCGUCUUAUAUACCAUCUGCUGUACUGUGGAACAAGGACUGUGAGCAAGAGUGUUACAAUGAGGAAGGGGAGUUUUUGUCAGAUGGACGACAACAAGCAAAUAAAACUGAGCACCUACUGGUUCUUAAUGAAACCAUAAACAUCGCAGUCUCUGAAUGCAUCAAUCUUCACCAUUCUGUGACCUGUCAUGGAUCAAAUGAAAAGUUUAAACACACUUACCGAGUGAUCAAUGACACGAUCUCAAGCCAAGAUGUUCCUAAGCAGCAAACCGAUCGCACCACCACCAUCGUCUCUGUCGUCAUUCCGAUUGGACUCCUGCUGAUUGGACUCCUGAUUAGUGUCCUGAUAUGUCUCCACAAAAAACGAAGAUUGAGAAUUGGAGUCUGGGGGAAACGGUUGAGUGGCUGCUGUCAACAAACAGAUGAGACUAAGGAAUCAGACAUCCCACUGGAGGACAUUACAGCAAGAAACACGGAAGGUGAAGCUCAACUGAACACCUCAAAUACUGAAAACAUGGACCCUGGUGAUACGAGCGCUAACGGCGAUGUUCAAACUGAAGAAGCUCGACCACUCCAACCAUAUCCUUACAGUUGAUGUGUGCAGAGUCGUCGAGAGCGAGUGAGGAUUACGGUUCGGCUUCAGAACUUCUCUCCAGUCUGCUUCUGCCUUUUCUUCAGUCGCACUUUCCCUACACUUUUGCAUCUGGGACACUUUGAAAGUAAAAUUAAGUAGUUAAACUGAGACCGUGGUAUUAUAGGGCUCUACAUAAAAGUGCCAAAUUUUUAAUCAUGACAAAGCAGAUCAAAUUUUUAUACUUUAAUAGUGUUUUGGUGUAAAAAAUAUAUUUUCAUAUAUAUUACUUGCUAUAAAAAUAACAUUUAUAAGAACUAAUUUUUGCCAAAGAAAGGGAAGCUCAAACCAAAGAACCCCAAGAAAAAAAAAAAAACACUUUUCUGCACUUUAAAACACUGCACAUCCUUCUGCACUUUUGUUAUGCUCUACCCUUUUAACUGUGACGAUAGCUGGGGCUGGGCAGCUUCGAGUUGUCAACACUCACCUGAUUGCGCUCCUGGUUUUGACUGCUUCAUCCGAUCCGUGUUUUACUCUGCUAUUUCCGGUAUUGAACUGUGCCAGUUGUGACUAUGAACUUGAUCUUUGCCUUGAUUUUUGUUGGCUACGUAGCUACUGUGUGUGGGAGGCUGCACCAGAACAUCUCUACUACCCUACUACACAGUAGAUGAAAAGCAGUACACCAAAGGAGGAGCAUCUCAGAAUUCUCAGCAUUCAUACAACAGUAUUUAAGAAAUCCCCAGAUGACCUACUGCUUCCCCCGAGAUUCUGCAGUGUGGAAUAACUGGACACUGUGCUAUCCCAUAAUGCAACGUGGCAUGGAAGAGCUGUCAGAAUCAAACCUGGCGCAUCGGCUUUUUAAGCUGUAGGUCACAUGACUAUGCCAACCUGGUGGCUGUAGUGCUUAUAAGCCCUUUCCUUAACUUGCACUGUGGGGCCAAACCUUAGACUGGGUUGUCAUCAACACUACUCUACGUCAUUGAAUCAACGCUAUAGAGAGCACAGCUGGUGGCUUCAUCAGCAGCCCAGUGCUUGUUCCUUUUUAUUUUCUCAUUGUGAUUGACCUUUGCUAUCUCCUUUAUUUUUUAUGUCUGUAAUUUUUUUUGUGCAUGUGUAAAUUUGUUAGCAUUCUUUAUAUACUGUUACCAGGUGUAGGGUUCAGCUGCCAUUUCUUUCUGGGUUUUGUCUGUUUUAUUUUAUUUUUAUUUAUUUUAUAUUACCAAUAUUGCACAAGUAUGUGUGUAUGUAAUUCAUAAACCGAAGUAUUCUUAGUAGUCUUUUUUUCUUUUUCUUUAGCCAUCCAUCUUUUAUCCCAGUCAAACCUAUCCUGUUAUCUUCAACCCUAGACUGGGGUGCAUCACUGUCCUCCAUUCCAGAAAAUCUGAGACAGCAACAAAAGAGAGACAAUUUUUAGAAAGUAACAAGUCUGUUUUUACAGAAGGAAGGGAAUUGGUGGCGCAACCUAUCAUAACCCUGUAACAGGAAGUCUUAUUUCUGCCCCCAUAAUGGUGAAAUUUAACUUGGCUCAGGAGCAGAUCGAGUGGAAAGUAAAGUGCACAUGUCUCAGUGCUUCUGAUAUUUUAACAAAAAUAUAUUUGGACGCUCAAUUCGUUACCCCACUCUCACUAAUAAACUCUCUCUGUGUGUGUGUAUGUGUGAGAGCAAGAGAGAGAUUGAUAACACCUGUCUGUUCAGAUCUGUGACACAAGUUAGUAAGAAAAUAAAGUUGAUAAUAAGUAAGCAAGAG
ensembl:lncRNA